CCUACGGGCGGCAGCAGUGAGGAAUAUUGGUCAAUGGGCGCGAGCCUGAACCAGCCAAGUAGCGUGAAGGAUGACUGCCCUACGGGUUGUAAACUUCUUUUAUAAAGGAAUAAAGUGAGGCACGUGUGCCUCUUUGUAUGUACUUUAUGAAUAAGGAUCGGCGAACUCCGUGCCAGCAGCCGCGGUAAUACGGAGGAUCCGAGCGUUAUCCGGAUUUAUUGGGUUUAAAGGGAGCGUAGAUGGGUUGUUAAGUCAGUUGUGAAAGUUUGCGGCUCAACCGUAAAAUUGCAAUUGAUACUGGCAGUCUUGAGUACAGGUGAGGUAGGCGGAAUUCGUGGUGUAGCGGUGAAAUGCGUAGAUAUCACGAAGAACACCGAUGGCGAAGGCAGCUUACUAAACUGCCACUGACAUUGAUGCUCGAAGGUGUGGGUAUCAAACGGGAUUAGAUACCCGGGUAGUC
rnacentral:rRNA from 1 species